rnacentral:rRNA from 1 species
GUCGAGCGAACGGACGAGAAGCUUGCUUCUCUGAUGUUAGCGGCGGACGGGUGAGUAACACGUGGAUAACCUACCUAUAAGACUGGGAUAACUUCGGGAAACCGGAGCUAAUACCGGAUAAUAUUUUGAACCGCAUGGUUCAAAAGUGAAAGACGGUCUUGCUGUCACUUAUAGAUGGAUCCGCGCUGCAUUAGCUAGUUGGUAAGGUAACGGCUUACCAAGGCAACGAUGCAUAGCCGACCUGAGAGGGUGAUCGGCCACACUGGAACUGAGACACGGUCCAGACUCCUACGGGAGGCAGCAGUAGGGAAUCUUCCGCAAUGGGCGAAAGCCUGACGGAGCAACGCCGCGUGAGUGAUGAAGGUCUUCGGAUCGUAAAACUCUGUUAUUAGGGAAGAACAUAUGUGUAAGUAACUGUGCACAUCUUGACGGUACCUAAUCAGAAAGCCACGGCUAACUACGUGCCAGCAGCCGCGGUAAUACGUAGGCGGCAAGCGUUAUCCGGAAUUAUUGGGCGUAAAGCGCGCGUAGGCGGUUUUUUAAGCCUGAUGUGAAAGCCCACGGCUCAACCGUGGAGGGUCAUUGGAAACUGGAAAACUUGAGUGCAGAAGAGGAAAGUGGAAUUCCAUGUGUAGCGGUGAAAUGCGCAGAGAUAUGGAGGAACACCAGUGGCGAAG